GCCAUCCUCCAGAUUAAAAGUUGAAGUUAUUCUGAGAAAAAAAAUACACACACAGGAUUGAAACUACUCCAGCAUUCUGGUGGGCCUCUUUUCCUGGUGGAGAUGUCUAAGAGAGAGGUCAGUGGUACAAACUAUAAUCCUCACAACUGAAGAUUCAGGCCUGCGAGUGGAGGAAGAUCUAAGAAAAACUUACCUUUGGAUGAACUAUUUUCAACUAUGGCCUUUUAGGAGACUGUGGUCUCCGCCUGCUCUAAUCCCAGUAAGGAGAACACCUGUCCCCCAGGUGUUGCUAACUGCUCAUUGUCUUUUCCACAGGACCAGGCUGCAGCCAGGGCCCAGGUAAGAACACAUUUUUUUUUCUUUUAGCUUCUUAACUUACUCAUCCUGCCUCCCUCAGUCUCUUUGUACUAACAACACCCCCUCAUUCCAUUCUGCUCAAAGCAGUGUGUCAAGCUCUGCUUCUCACAUCCUAAGCAAUAUGUCAUUAAAACUGUUGAAAAAAAUACAUAUAUGUUGUUAUGUUGUGUGUUAUGGGAGCCCCGUGCUUUGGUAGAUAAUGUAGCCAGUUCUGAAUUUGAAUUCUCGUUCUUUAAGUCGGUGGGUAUCUAAUUUUGGGUAGAUUUAUUAAUCUCUUGAAGUUUAUUUAUCCUGAAGGAGGUAAAAUAUUUUUGACUGGGCGGCCACCACUGAUUUUGACAACGUAAGACUUAGCAGAUGUGAAGUUCUUUCUCUUUGUGUCCAUUGCUUUCUGUUCCUUCUGCCCUGAUCGUUGCUUUGUUGUAGUUUGCCUUGAUGUUUAUCCUUUUUUACCCUUUAUUUUUUCAUGGUCUUUUUUGGAAUACUUUUCCUGUCUGUGUGGCCAGGGAGUCUGCCAUAGGAGCUGACUGUGGGAGCAUCUCUUAUUUAGGAUUCGUGGUAUAAUGGACUAAGUGAUGUGUAGUGUUAAAAUUGAAGGCAUUGGGAAAAUAAUAUUGGGUCAUGUAAAUCCAAUGAAUAUAAAGAAUCAAGCCCUGAAUUUGGGAUUAAGAAACACUGGAUCCAGCAAGCAAAUGGGGAUACCAAUUGGAAAGAAAGACCAAAGAAGAGGCUUCUGCUCUGUGUUAAGCUCGACUUGCUCUGGGAGUCAUCUUACAGACUUGGGUUCUUUCCAAAGGUUCAAGGACAUUAGGAAAACUAAAUCUUCUGAUGGUCUGAGGUGAAUACAGUAAUUGCCUGGGGCAAGCUUUAUCAGCAGCUGGGGAGGACAAAAAUGACCUGACUCAGUGAGAGGUUAUUAUAGAACAAAAGAAUGCUAAGGAUUAAUAUCAAUAGCAAGUAGAGGUAUAGGAC